UACGUAGGGUCCGAGCGUUGUCCGGAAUUAUUGGGCGUAAAGGGCUCGUAGGCGGUUCGUCACGUCGGGAGUGAAAACUCGGAGCUUAACUCCGAGCCUGCUUCCGAUACGGGCAGACUAGAGGUAUGCAGGGGAGAACGGAAUUCCUGGUGUAGUGGUGAAAUGCGCAGAUAUCAGGAGGAACACCGGUGGCGAAGGCGGUUCUCUGGGCAUUACCUGACGCUGAGGAGCGAAAGUGUGGGGAGCGAACAGG
rnacentral:rRNA from 1 species